UACGAAGGAUGCAAGCGUUAUCCGGAUUCAUUGGGUUUAAAGGGCGCGUAGGCGGACUGGUAAGUCAGUGGUGAAAUCUCUCAGCUUAACUGAGAAACUGCCAUUGAUACUGCCGGUCUUGAGUACAGAUGAUGUGGGCGGAAUAUGACAUGUAGUGGUGAAAUACUUAGAUAUGUCAUAGAACACCGAUUGCGAAGGCAGCUCACAAAACUGUAACUGACGCUGAGGCUCGAAAGUGCGGGGAUCAAACAGG
rnacentral:rRNA from 1 species